UACGAAGGGGGCUAGCGUUGCUCGGAAUCACUGGGCGUAAAGCGCACGUAGGCGGGUCCUUAAGUCAGGGGUGAAAUCCCGAGGCUCAACCUCGGAACUGCCUUCGAUACUGGCGAUCUUCGAGUCCGGGAGAGGUGAGUGGAACUCCGAGUGUAGAGGUGAAAUUCGUAGAUAUUCGGAAGAACACCAGUGGCGAAGGCGGCUCACUGGCCCGGUACUGACGCUGAGAUACGAAAGCGUGGGGAGCAAACAGG
rnacentral:rRNA from 1 species